UACGGAGGGUGCGAGCGUUAAUCGGAAUAAUUGGGCGUAAAGGGCACGCAGGCGGGUUUUUAAGUGAGAUGUGAAAUCCCCGGGCUUAACCUGGGAAUAGCAUUUGAGACUGGGAGUCUAGAGUGCUUUAGGGGGGGGUAGAAUUCCACGUGUAGCGGUGAAAUGCGUAGAGAUGUGGAGGAAUACCGAUGGCGAAGGCAGCCCCUUGGGCAUGUACUGACGCUGAUGUGCGAAAGCGUGGGGAGCAAACAGG
rnacentral:rRNA from 1 species